GUCUAUUGUUUCCUAAACACUGACAUUGGUGUAUCUUGCUAGAAUCAGUUGUUACAGAAAGUCAAGUGCUAGAAAACAAAAUGAGGCCAUAUUAUUUGCUUUUCACAACUACUUUUCUUCUUCUUUGGGUGGAAGUGAAAUGUGAGACUACAAAAAGCAAAAUAACCAAACAAGGCUUAUGUCCAAAGCCAAAUGCAUCAAAGAAUUGUACAUGUCCCUCUGAUAACAAAUGUUCCAAUGACAGUGACUGCUCAGGACAAUUAAGAUGCUGUGAUACAGGAUGUGGACUCCAAUGUGUCUAUGGAGUACGAAAAGGCUUCUGUCCAAAUAAUGAUCUGCCAGUUGAAGAAGGUAAAUUAGAAAAACCAAAAUGUGUUAGUGACUUUAGUUGUAAAAAACCUGCCAAAUGCUGUGACCGAGGAUCA